rnacentral:rRNA from 1 species
UACGGAGGGUGCAAGCGUUAUCCGGAUUCACUGGGUUUAAAGGGUGCGUAGGAGGGCAGGUAAGUCAGUGGUGAAAUCUCCGAGCUUAACUUGGAACUGCCGUUGAUACUAUCUGUCUUGAAUAUUGUGGAGGUGAGCGGAAUAUGUCAUGUAGCGGUGAAAUGCUUAGAUAUGACAUAGAACACCAAUUGCGAAGGCAGCUCGCUACACAUAUAUUGACUCUGAGGCACGAAAGCGUGGGGAUCAAACAGGAUUAGAACUAC